CCUUCGAUAGCUCAGUUGGUAGAGCGGUGGACUGUAGUUGGCUUCUUUAAAAAUUGACAGAUAUCCAUAGGUCGCUGGUUCAAAUCCGGCUCGAAGGA
rnacentral:tRNA from 1 species